UGCUUUGGAUCGCGAUAGGGGUUAUUUUCAAUUUACCCCUUAUUUAUUUAGGAUCGCUAGCUAUCAACAGUAGCGAUCCUGAUUUUUUGCAUUUUAGCCCCUGUUUUGAGUGGCUCAUCGCGUUUCGCUCUCGCCUCCGGCGGCGCCCGCCGCCGGCAUCGCCGUGGGAGCCCCGCCCAACCAUGCUCCUCUUCUCCGCGGGAAGAGAAAGGCUCCUAGAUCACUGCGAGAGCUGCCCCCAACCCAAUCAUCGCCGCUGGCCGCUGCAGCCGGAGAGGGGGGGGGGGGGGGGAAGGACGGGAGGUUUCCGGCGAGAAGCAAGCGCGCUACGUCUACGCGCGGUUAGUCCCGCCGUAUCUCCUCCUUGAAGGUGAGCUCCGACGCCAAGGCAGCUAGCUGCUUUGCUGCUGGCUCCUGGGUCCAGGCUGCUGAAGCUGAACAGAACACCGUCAUGGCCCCGGCAGCGGCGAUGCAAUCCGAAGAUGAUGAUGACUGGCUUUUGAGUUUUGACAGAGUUCCUUCAGGCUAAACUUAACUGUCAACUACUAAGCUGUCAGCCUAGUCAAGUAGGAGUAGUGACCUCAAAAAGGGGAAAUGUUGACAUCUGAGAACAUGAACUACCUUAAAAUGUUGUUCUGUUUAAAAAGUAAUCAUUGUGACAAGAUGCAACUAAUACACCAUGAUGACAAAAUUGGACAUGUCAUGCUGACUGCAGCCAGAUUCAUCAUUCAAGGACUUCCAUUUCUGUGAGCAGACAAGCAUGCCACAUAUUUAAGCUAUGCCUCAUUACUCAGCCCAUUAGCAAGUGUUAAGUAUUAUUACUGUUUCAAAUUUAUUAUUGAUAAGAAACAAUUCCUCUGCACUUGGCUAACUACACUCAUCUGAUGCCUCAGGUAACACCAUAAAAGGCUCAAAAGUAAAUAUGAGUCCAAUGAGCUCCACAAAGUUCAGCAUCAAGAACACCACUUGAUCACCUACAGAUACUUAAAAUUUGAAGGAAGAGCUUUGAAAUUGCUUACUGCAAGAGCACUUUUCAUCAUUGCCGCUGAAUAAAAAGCUAAGGAAAGUUCCGCGCCAGAUAGGUCCCUUACCUAUGAAAACAGAGAUGAUUGAAUAAGCCAGAGUAUUCAAUAUGCGAAAAGGGGAUCACUGAGAUGCAACUUGAAUGAACCAGUAGAGAUCUUGAUAAAGAGAACUACGGGGCAGGCACUCCCGUUAUAUAUGCUACAUAGAUCUGAAGAUGAUGGUUUGACGUACAAACUGAAAUCGUGUCAGAAAUUCAAGGAAGGCUAUGAGUUUUUCUUUUAGACAAAGGACCAAUGAGUCCAGCUAUACAAAGCAAAACGGUGAAGGCUACAGUUGGAAUAUCUCAUGAGAUCCAAGUUGCAACCAAGUGGUAAGGUAUAAUGGUUAGGGAGAAAUGUGUGAACUGGGACAUGCAUUCGAAAUGAUCCAGGGUUCAGAGAUUAAUUAGGAAUGAUGCAAAGCAGUGUCCUUCAAGUUAGGUAAACGUCUUUGUGCGACGCAGGUGAUACUGUAGCUCAAGACGCAUGAUGAAAUAAUUAGAUGGAGAAGUGAAUACAUACUUACCAUGAAGUAGAGGAAGGGGAAGAGGCACGUGAUUGGUAAAGCUGCAAUAUUUAAAGGACAGAGGAAGCAAUAAAUCAGAAACGAGAUGUGCAGCUUGCAGCAUGAAGGGAACAAACACAAGAAUCCUGUUAUUCACGACAAGAAAGCAUGUGCUUGCUCCUGCUGCUGUUUGUGGUUAGUUACGCUAUUGAUCUCCAAUAUUAAUAUGAUAUGUAUACUGAUAGUACAUAAUUGCAUAGGUGCAUAGUGCUGGAACAGAUCUCAGAUAGACAGAUACUACUUGCUAUCCUGAACAAAUUUUACAUGCAUGUUUGAGCUUCAAUUCAAGCGGCUCCACAAGUACUCCUAUAUAUAUAGGGUUAAUUGGAUCAUGCCAUUAUAUAUUUACCUGUUUUGUGAUA